rnacentral:lncRNA from 1 species
CAUAGCAGUUCAAUAAAGUGCGCCCAUUGGGCGCGAUGGUAGCCGCGCCACACAUCCGCCUGUUGACCGUCGCGCCCAUUGGGCGCGAUGGUAGCCAUGCUGCACAUCCGCCUGUUGACUGUCGCGCCCAUUGGGCGCGAUGGUAGCCGCGCUGCACAUCCGCCUGUUUACCGUCGCGCCCAUUGGGCGCGAUGGUAGCCGCGCUGCACAUCCGCCUGUUGACCGUCGCGCCCAUUGGGCACGAUGGUAGCCGCGCCGCACAUCUGCCUGUUCACCGUCGCGCCCAUUGGGCGCGAUGGUCGCCGCCUCACACGUCCGCCUGUUGACCGUCGCGCCCAUUGGGCGCGAUGGUAGCCGCGCUGCACAUCCGCCUGUUCACCGUCGCGCCCAUUGGGCGCGAUGGUAGCCGCGCUGCACAUCCGCCUGUUGACCGUCGCGCCCAUUGGGCACGAUGGUAGCCGCGCCGCACAUCUGCCUGUUCACCGUCGCGCCCAUUGGGCGCGAUGGUCGCCGCCUCACACGUCCGCCUGUUGACCGUCGCGCCCAUUGGGCGCGAUGGUAGCCGCGCUGCACAUCCGCCUGUUUACCGUCGCGCCCAUUGGGCGCGAUGGUAGCCACGCCGCNN